UUGUUGGGUCAGUGCCGUCUGACCUUGGAGUGAAUUAAAAUAAAGAUUCUGAGUUUUAAAGUUUUCAGGCCUUGGUUUCCAUGAAGAGGAACUCUAUUUUCACUCAUCCUCCAGCAAGAGAUUAGCAGCUUGAAAUCACUUUGACAGUGAGAGUUGCUCUAUUGCAUACCACAGGGAAUUUUAAUUCCAGCCUGUGAAAUUGUAAUUGCUUCUCAAGGAGAAGUGGGGAAUUCUGGGUAAUGGCCACAGCCAAGCUCGAUGUCAGAGCUGCCGGUUGCUGCCACAUCAGAUAUUACUUGCUGUUAUUCAAAACUCCAGCUUUCCAUAUGGGAAAGUUGAACUGGGGAGUGAAAGCAAAUUAACAGAAACUGUCAGCAGUUCAGAGCAGCACAGACAGCAGUGUGACGUGACUUCCCAUCAGAAAAGGUGGAGGUCAUGCGGGGGAGAAAAAUCCCUGGAUUUCCACAACGCGGCUACCCCGCUCACCAGUAUGGAGGCUGAUAUCAGGAAGGUCCCGAGUCUGCUGCAGGUGGUGGCCUUGGUCCCUUUCUGAGCCAAAGAGCAGAGUGAAGCUACAGCCAAUCUGAAGAUGCUUCAUUUAGUUGUAUUCUAAAUUAUAGACCUUGACAAAAAAAGCCAAAAGAAGAGCCAGCAGAGCCAAACCCACGGCCGUCCUCGGCGCCCAGUCUUGAUGUCGCCUGGGCAUGCGCAGCGCCAUUCUGGAACUCGCUGAGUCGUGCUGAGAGGCAGCAGGGGUGUGGGAUCCUGGACUCCCGUGGUUCCCAAGCCCGUUUCUGAACUCCUGUGAUGCAGAAACAGAGGAAAGAGUUACUUUCAGGAUGCAGAGAAAGCCCUGUUGUGACAUCAAUCAAGUAAAGGGUUCCAGAAGGGCUGCCUCUAAAGUUCUCCUUCAACAGAGGCGCGUGCGGACACCCACCACAAGCCGGGUGGGCCCAAGCCUCAAGAUCUCAAGGACAGCACUGACACGUGGGAAACUUGAGAAAGAAUGCAGACCUCCUUCAACUGAAUUGAUAGGAACUACGUGAAUUCUCAAAAGGGGUGAUAAGGAUACCGACAUCUCUGUGUGGAGGACAUGACGGUGCCGACCUCUCCUGACAUAUGUGAGCCCCGAAGCUUGCAUCCCACCAGAAAGUGUGCUCCGUUCAAGUAGAGCUGCACGAGCUGCCUAAGAGAACACCCGACAGAAGCGUGACGCUCUACACGUUUACAAGGAAAGAGGGACGGGGCACCUUGAGACGACUGUGUGGCUGGCUGAAGUUCCUGGGGAAGAGGACAGGAAACUCCAAAGCUCAGCCUCUGCUAAGGCCUCUUCCUUCUGCCGAGCUAACUGCCUGCUAGGAAAAUGGGGAGGAAAUGGGCCUCCAGAUGUGUCUGACUCACCGGUCUUUCAGCCCCAAGAGACAAGACUGAGGAAAGGGCACCUAAAUGAUGAUUGAUUCACAUUUUCUGAAUUGGUGUCUGCGUUUCUGCUUAUUCCUUUGCAUCCUAUAGUUAUUUCUUCAUCUAGUUACAAGGAUUCCUUUCUUGGGAGCUGGAUGGGCUUGGGCUCCCAAUGGAAGGAAGUCAUGUUGUUUACAGGCCUUUCUUCCAAGUCCUCUUCCUUCUCAUAUGAAAUAUUGAUAAGCUGUAAGAUGGCACAUGGUUGGAGAACGAGAAGCACAAGGAUUCGGUGACAAAGGCAGAGGAUAGGCUCUAUGUGAAAAUCCUAAGCAGAAAUAUUGAGAGAACGUUCACUGCCCGCCUAGUAGGACUCUAAGUGCUCUACGCAUUCUCUCUAACCCUUCAAAGUACUCGGUGACGUAGCUAAUGAGUGAACCCUCUCUUUAAAUCACUGGCCCACAUUUCUGAUAGGAAGUAGAAAUAGCGAAGCAGAUGAGAGGCCUGGCUUUAGUCAUACCAAGGACAGCCCCGCAGCAACACUGCUGACAUACACUGAUAAUUCCAUAUAAAUACAUGAGAAAAAGCAAGGAUUUUCUGCAUAGUUAUUAAAAUGACGAUCAAGAUCAACAGUCCCACCCAAUACAUUAUGUCCACUUGACUUGCCACCGCAUCUCACAGGCGCAGUGGGGUUAUUUUGAGUUUCCCUACAGAGGCCAUUCCAGAAAAGCUGGCCUCGAGUUGUGCAGAGACAUUUCACGUUACCCGUCUUGCAGUUCUAAGCCACGUGGAGACUUUAACUGUGACCCGUAGGUGGCACAUCUCUGAGUAUGCUCCGAACACACACAUGCGUACGCACUUGAUGCGCUCACAUUAGAGCACGUUGCAGAAUGUGUUUUAACGAGGAACAGUUGGUCUGGUUCUGCUCAAAUAAAAGAGAUCCCUGUAAGAGAGCUGCCACCUGUCUUCCCAUCUUGUGGCGCAGCUUCUAAAUGAAUUCUUCUGUCCUGACACCCGCGAGUGUUGCCAGCGCCCCUCCUCAAACUGACAAGACAACCCUGUCCCUGCGCUUCAUGUUACUACCAGAUACCGGGACAUACAGGGGAGUGACGGGGCCAAGCUACCUUUCUCCGUUACUCUUCUAGACGUUCCCCAAAUUGGGAGCUCUUUAAUAUCAUAUACGUAGGCGUACCCAGUUAUCUCCAAACCAAAAAUGUUUUAGCAUUUUAUCUUGAAGUCAGUGAAAAUAAUGGGGUGUGUGUAGUCCGUCGGCAUUAUAGGCACCAUGGCAUGGAACAGGAUCAACACAUUCAAGUUGGAAUUAACCGUUCCUUUCCAUUUCUUCUGGAAGAACAUUUACAUUGUGAGACCUCUGUCACACAGUCACACAAUUAGAGCACAGUACUGUCAGCCUUUCUGUUUCACUUCUGGGAGAUUCUACAUCAGACAUUGUUCAUAUGACAUUUUUGCCUUGGCCCUUUCACCCCAAAUGUGUAAUUGCUAUCAGGUCAUUACAAUUAUGAAGAAAAAUGUUAAACUUGAACACACACAUACACGCAAACUCUCUAAUCUUAAUAUCACGGACGGGGUUUCUUAAAUCUUAUUUUGGUGAUAGCAGUGUAAACACAAGGCUUUGCUGAUAAGGAUGAACAUAAAUUAUUAAACUAUCUACUGUAGGAUCAAAUGCAUUUCAGAUUCUAUUCUGAAUAAUUCUGCCUUGACGUCCACCAAAGGCACAGAUGUGAUAUGCCCCUGCGCCAUCUCAGUGAUCCCUCUCUUUCAGAACGCCCAACCCGCACACUUGAACUGUGCCAAAUGAAAGAGAUAAUCAUGUCAAAACCCAGAGCUUGGCAUCUGCCCAUCACCUAAUUAUUACUCUCUGUAAGCGCACAUUUCAUCUGAUUCAAGAGAUGUGAAACCAGCUCUUAAGCUCUGAACUUCUUUUAAUGGCUUCAAAACAUUUCUUAUGUGUAAAUUUUUCUCAUGGCUCAGAGGCACUGUUAGAGCUUGAAGUGCAAUCUAACGGGGAUGAAGAAAAAAUUCUUUGAUAGCUCAUAUCUCAAGAUAAAUCAGAGUUUAGAGCAGGCUUCCCCCCUACCCCCACACCAAGCCUUGAACAUAUGGGCUCUGUAGAAAAUCUACUGAAACCAGAGAUGUGACCAGGGUGAGGAAAUAAUCUGAAAGCAUCCUUUAUGCAGUCCAGUUUACUAUCAGGAAAGAAUCUCCACACUGGCUGGGCAUGGUGGCUCACACCUGUAAUCCCAGCAUUUUGGGAGGCCAAGGAGGGUGGAUUGCUGGAGCCUAGGACUUCUAUGUAACCCGGGCAACAUGGCAGAACCCCCAUCUACAAAAAAAUACAAAUAUCAGCUGGGCAUUGUGGCAUGCACUUGUAGUCCCAGCUACUAAGGAGGCUGAAGUAGGAGGAUCACUUGAGCCCAGGAGGUCAAGGCUGCAGUGAGCUACGAACGCACCACUGUACUCCAGCCUGGGUGACAGAGAAAGACCUUGUCUCAAAAAAAAAAAAAAAUUCUCAUUUUGAAUACAAAAUUAUAGGCUAUCUCUACACAAUUACAUUUUAUUUUUACUUUUUGAGAUGGAGUCUCACUCUCUUGCUCAGGCUGGAGUGCAGUGGCUUGAUCUCAGCUCACUGCAACCUCCACCUCCUGAGUUCAAAUGAUUCACCUGCUUCAGCCUCCUGAGUAGCUAGGAUUACAGGUAUGCGCCACCAUGCCCAGCUAACUUUUGUAUUUUUAGUAGAGAUGGAUUUUUACCAUGUUGGCUGGGCUGGUCUUGAACUCUUGACUUCAAGAGAUCCACCUGCCUCAGCCUCCCAAAGUGCUGAGAAUACAGGCGUGAGCCACCGUUCCUGGCCCACAAUUACAAUUUAAUCUCUCCAAUACAAUUUAACCUCCUAAGGCUGCAUCCAUCCUUCGUGCUAAGGAAUAAGCAAAGGUUGCCCCUCAGGCUUUGUAAUGCCGUCUCUACAUUCCAGCUGCGGGCUUCUAUCUGAAUACCUGCAUCUUUAGCAUAGUACCAAAUAUUCAUUCCAAUGAGCUUAGAAUACUUUCCUAAUUUUUGGCUUGUUACAUUUACCAAAAUAAGGGGAGCGUGUAGGGCAGAAGAAACAGAUCUAGAAUUCAUAACACAGUAUAGAAACCUUUGCCAACAGUGGUGCACAGUCAUUUGUCUAUACAUAACUUCUCCAGUUCCACAAAGUAAGCUCUGCCGAGAAGGUACGCUAUCAGAAUCCGGCACCUUAGCUGGAGAUGUGUCUACUCCUUCCUUGUUGUUGUUCAAAUUUUGUUCUCCAAAGAGAGGUACACCGAGAAGGUUCUUUUAGUAACUACACACAAGGAAAACCCAAGUUACAUACUGAGUCAAAGUUUGGAAGUUACUCUAGAACUUGUCAUGUAAGUCUCUUCUGCUAACUAAAAAUCAGCCUAAGAUAGACGAAAAAGUACACGUGCUUGUGCGCACAGACACACAAGCUCUGACAUAGAAAAGGAACCAAGAGGCGCACUUAGAACAAUGAAGUCUGUAAUGACAGCAUUCACGACAGCAGUAGAAAUGUCCGUGCAUCUAUUCCUAAUUGGCGGCUGAAGAUAAGCAUAGGUAUGCACAGAAGCUGCCCACAGGUGUGGCAAAGCUGAAGAAAGAAAAAGUGAGUUGGGUCAAGACGCUUUACUGAUGAUGGGGACCUUUCCAUAAUCUCUCAAACCACACGCAAAACCUUUCUCAUUCCAGGGAGUGCCCACAGGAAGCACUGAGCUCGAAUGCUGAUGAUUGUAACAACUGGGUGUAUUAAAUGUCAUCUUUAAGUCAUCAAUUCAGCUCAGAAUAAUUGUUCUAAGGGUUUCCUUCCGACUAGGUACCCAUGAAAGCAUGUUGGCAGACAUUUGGUUUGUAUUUUAAAUGAAAAAGGAGUCACGUGUGAUGUUAGCUGUUGUGACAAUACAACCUUCUCAUCCUGUUCUAAGUAUCAUUUUAAAUGACACUGGAAAUACGGAGUUAGCAUCACUGAGCUCUAUGAACUGCAUAAAACAAAUAAAGGAAAUGGCACGUGCUUUA